UCCUGUGGUAUUAGGUGGACUGGAGAAAGAGGCCCGCGUGAAUUAAGUGUAGUUCUCUUAUGCACUGGCGGACUCUGGUCGCCCUUCCUUGUGAAGGCUGCCUGGGUAGCCGUAGAGGACGAGGCCACUCUAAAGCCUCGUUUUCCCAGCGGAAUUUUAACUAUUCUAAGGAUGUCCUUACAGCCAGUUCCCCACUCCGCUACUCAGAGUGUGUCAGACUUUACCCUGUCCAUUCAACUCCAGAAAAACCGGGAGGUCUAGAUUCGGAAGAUUAAAUUUACCUUUGAAUUAGGACAUGUAAAAUAGGAAGUUAAUAUUAGCAUCCUAAUGACAAAAGUUUUCUCGUUAUCAUACUUGACUCAAAUGGGAAUCUUACGGAUAUUAAUGUUUUUUCCAGAAACAGGUUUGAAAGGUAUUUCAAGGAUAAAUCUGGGGAAAGGGAUGGAAGCAACUGAUUUUUAAUUUUUAGAUAGUACUCUCAGAGCAUUUAUUUAGUCCAAAACUGUUAAUUUAAUGAAUUAGGCUAAACUAGACGCUGGGGUAACAAAGCUGAGUUAGAUACCCUCUCCUCUGAGGCAGCUAAAGAGAAGGAAAGUCUGGUGGCUGACAAGUAAACCAACAGUUAUGUUCUUCAGAGAGGAGAUCUCAGACUCUCUAAGCAAAAGAAACUAAUAGCUGUAUGACAACAGCCAAAGAGUAAAUAUCCUUUCAAGUCCAAUCCUGCCUAAGAUGUCAAAAUCAAGAAUGAAGAGGUUAUGUGCUGAAACAGAAUGACCUUCACAAGAUGCAGCCUCUGGAUCUUGGACUUCCCCAGCCUCCAGAACUCUGAGCAGAGCCCCAUAAAUGAGAAGCCACGAAGACUGAGGUUACACAGUGAUCCACAGUUGCCACAAAACUGAGCAGGCAUCAAGGUACAUCUUGGUGUUGAAUGAAGUUGUUCCAUAUGGGCUCAUUUCUCAGGUUGUUUGCAAAAAAGAAAUAAUGUAAUACAGUGCACCAACUGUAUUUCAAAGAUGCAGGCCAACUCGACAUUUCAUGUGCUGAA
rnacentral:lncRNA from 1 species